AUGCUUAUUGAUAUUGCAAUUGAGUCUAUACAAGGCCUGCUUUCAUUUUUCAGUAAGUAUAGAGAUACUGGAUUUUCAAAAGCACUAGAAGCUGCAAGAGAAAUUCCACUUGUGAUGGAUAUUCAUCCAGAGUUCCGCACCAAGAGUAAACUCAAAAGAAGAAGACAAUUUGAUGAGGGUGUAGAUGAUGCAUCUAUUGUUUCACAAUCUGCAGAGGAGUCAUUUAUGGUCAACUAUUUUCUGCAAGUGGUCGAUCAAGCUAUAGUUCACUUACCAGGAGAUUUGAGGAAUAUCAGGGGUAUGAAAAUACUUUUGGUUUCUUAUCUACUUCAGAUAGGCUGCGAUCUUUGGAUGAUAAGAGUUUGUUGGCUGCUUGUGUUAAUCUUGAGAAUGCACUUAAGAGUAGAGAACAGAAAGACAUCAAUGGAGUAG
rnacentral:rRNA from 1 species